rnacentral:lncRNA from 1 species
AACAAGCACACAACACAUUGCAACAGUUUUGAAGGUCCACACAGCAGCUUGGGCAGCUGCACAACACGGUCCAUAUGCAUCUAGCCAGCAACUUGGGACGGUGCAACAACAAGGCACGUUCACGGUCCAGAAGCUUGCAGGAGUCCAGCAUCCACCAGCUGCAGCUUCAUGCAUCCAACAGCUCUUAAACAGUGCUCCACAGCAACCCAUAUUGAGACUGAAGUCCUGCAACACACACCUCUUUAAAUGGACAGCAGCUUUGGGCAGCAGUGUUCCAUCCAAGCAUCUACACGGCCCAGGAGAUUUAAUGACUGAAACAUCCAACAUUCACAGCAGCAC